AACCAAGGGGGAAAGGAAUAAUCAGGUUUCUAGAAGUUCUAGAAAGGUUUGGGGUGUCACUUUUGUAGGACAAGGGAUAAGGCCUUCUAGAAAGGUUGUUUUGUGGCUGAUUUAUAGAAAAACAAGGGAUAAGGUGUGGCACCUUUGUAGGAAGGGAUAAGGCUUCUAGAAAUUAGGAUUUAAGUCUCCAAAUAGGAAAAGAAAUCCCUUUUGUAGCUGAAAUAUAGGUAGAUUAGGAUUAGGAUAAGAUAGGAUAGGAUAAGGUUAUGGAUAAUGUUUUGGAUAAGGUUUCUUCACUUGAGCUGAUUAUUUGGCUUUAACUUCCCUUCUUCAAGUAGGAAACCUUGUUUGAGUAGGAAUCUUCAAUCUUCUAGAAAUCCAACUUCAACUAGGAAUCAUUCUUCAACUAGGAAUCCAUUGUUGACUAGGAUUUCAUCUUCAAUUAAGCACUUUCCUACUUCAAUUAGGAAACUUUGCAUCUUCAAUUCUUCAACUUUGAAACACAUUCCUAGCUUCUUCAAUCCUUCAAAUUCGUCCAUUCUUUGUGCACCACAUGCAUGAGCUCCAUUCUAGCUCAAUAUUGCUUCAAAAUGCUCCAAUUUGCAUCUUUUUGCUUACUUUGCCCUUAAAACCUGAAAACACAUGAAAAUAGCUUAAAAGACUAACUUAACUAAGAAAACACAACAUAAAUGUAUAAGAACUAGCUAACUAAGGCGCAUAAAUAUGCUCCUAUCAGCCGUGGAUUUGCAAAAUCUGCAAAAUCCAAGAAACCAAACACCUACAGAAUGGUAGAGGAGGACCCGGAUAUUUGGGGGAGGUAAGGACCCAGAUCUGCAAAUCCACCGAGACAGAACCUUUCUCUUUGUAUCUCUCUUUCUCUCUCCCCCUCAUAUUAGUAUACUGCAGCCACAAACUAGGUACUUCCAUAAUCCUGGGUCGUGACUUCACAAUGGAGACCAAGUAUCAGACCACAGAGGCCGACUCGGCUUCGCUAUUUGCGCCAAGUGUUGUGACUCCAACUUCACCACCAAGCUCCAGAAGCCCUCCCUCAUCGACUCCCUUUCCAUGGUGCUCCCAUGGUUUGCCUUCAGUCGACCAAGGCGGCCCCUGCCAGUAUGAAGGAAAUUUUGUGAAAAACAUGUUCAUUUGAGCAACAUCUAUAGCAUGCAAUUAACAAAUUAAAGGCGGAAUCAUGCUUGCAUGCACUCAAAACAAAACAUUACCCAUUAAAUUCAAAGCCUAGUAGUUAGGUGAACCAAGACUCAACUCAAAACAAAGUGAGUUGAAAAAUUUAUACCUUUGUUGAUUCCUCUUUGCAUAAGCAAAGGAUAAUCACCCAAGAGAUAGGGCCUUCAUUCCUUGCUUUUUAGCUCCAUGGAUUUGGAUGGAAGAAUUGGUUUCUCCAAGUUCUCAAAGUUGAGAACCUCUAAGUCUCCACACCAAGGAAGGAUUGAUGAAGAAAUGAGUGACCUAGAGGAAGUAAGAUUGCUAGCUAUGUUCCUCUAGGGUGGCCGGCCUCUUAGAGAGUAAAGAGAGCUUUUGUUCUCAUCUUUUCUCCCAAAAGAAACCCUAAAUGAAUUUUGGCUAUAAAGUCAUAUUUAUACCUACAUUCAUUGGAGUGGCAAACUUGUAAUAAGUCCAAAACCCACUCCUUUAUCAAUAUGGCCGGCCAUAGGGUUUUAUUGGGCUAUUUGGGCCUUUGUGAAUUAUUAGUCAUUAAGUUGUCAUACAACUUAAGUCAAUGGGCUUGACGUUCGAAGCCCAUUGGGCCUUGAGGCCCAAAACUAACCCGAGGUCUUUAACUAACUUUAUUCGUUUGAUUAAUUAACAUAUUAAUUAAUCCUUGUCAUAAAUAAUUAAACAAUUUAAUUAUUCUUACUCAUCUCCAUUGUUUCUUC
rnacentral:lncRNA from 1 species